CCCUGCGGCUGAGGUGACGGCGCGGCGGCGGCUGAGGAUGAAGGGGAGAGGCGUGGACUCCACUUCGUUCGGCUGCAGGCGCGCGACGGCGUAUGCGCGGCCGCGGAGGGGCGUGAGUUGUUCAGCGUGGUGGUUGCAGGGCGGCGCCAUUGUCCGCGCAGCCGGGGGUGGCUGGGCACUGGCGCCCAGGGCCAGCGUGCUCGGAUCUGGCGGUCCUACGGCCAGUUGGCAGGGUGGUGGUAGGCUUAGUUGAGGUCUAAUUGCUUGUGAGGUGAUUUAGAUUAUUCUUUGGUCCUUAUGGAAAUGGAUGUUUUUUGGGUGGUGUGGAGACGCUGGCGAACGAAGUCUGUGGGCGCCGUUUUCCUCUUUGGAGGCGUUGUCUUGGUGUUUUUUUCAUGCCUAUAUUUUUUAAGUGAAAACCUUGUCUUUGAACGAGUAACGAUGGUGUUCCACGUCAUAUCCUUCUUGGGGUGUUGUUUCAGAGAAGUUACUUGUGCAUCGACAACCGUGGAUGGUCC
rnacentral:lncRNA from 1 species